GAUGAACGCUGGCGGCGUGCCUAAUACAUGCAAGUCGAACGAACAGACCAGGAGUUUGCUCCUCUGACGUUAGCGGCGGACGGGUGAGUAACACGUGUAUAACCUACCUAUCAGACUGGGAUAAUUUCGGGAAACCGGAUCUUAUACCGGAGAAUAUAUUGAACCUCAUGGGGCAAUAGUUAGAUUCGGUUGUUGGGUCGCUUAUAGAUGGAUACGCGCAGGAUUAGCUAGUUGGUAAGGUAAAUGGUUAGCAAGGCAACGAGGCGUAGACGACCUCAGAGGGUGAUCGGCCACCUUGGAAGUGAGACAGGGUCCAUACUCCUACGGGAGGAAGCAGUAGAGAAUCUUACGCAAUGGGGGAAAGCCUGACGGAGCAACGCGGCGUGAGUGAUGAAGGUGUUAGGAUCGUAAAACUCUGUUAUUAGGGGAGAACAAAUGUGUAAUUAACCAUGCAGGUAUUGACGGUACCUAAUCAGAAAGCAACGGCUAACUACGUG
rnacentral:rRNA from 1 species